AUAUCCCAAGAUGCUCUUAUCUGGUUCUCUCAGGUGCAUUUACUCUGAAAAAUUAGAGUGUUCGCAGCAGGCCAGUUGCCGGAAUACUUCAGCUAGGAAUAAUGGAAUAGGACUUCGGUUCUAUGUUGUUGGUUUUUGGAACUGGAGCCAUAAUUAAGAGGGACAGUCAGGGAUGUUCGUAUUGUGGAGGUAUAGGUG